AGCGAACGCUGGCGGCAGGCUUAACACAUGCAAGUCGAGCGGGCGUAGCAAUACGUCAGCGGCAGACGGGUGAGUAACGCGUGGGAACGUACCUUUUGGUUCGGAACAACACAGGGAAACUUGUGCUAAUACCGGAUAAGCCCUUACGAGGAAAGAUUUAUCGCCGAAAGAUCGGCCCGCGUCUGAUUAGCUAGUUGGUGAGGUAACGGCUCACCAAGGCGACGAUCAGUAGCUGGUCUGAGAGGAUGAUCAGCCACAUUGGGACUGAGACACGGCCCAAACUCCUACGGGAGGCAGCAGUGGGGAAUAUUGGACAAUGGGCGCAAGCCUGAUCCAGCCAUGCCGCGUGAGCGAUGAAGGCCCUAGGGUUGUAAAGCUCUUUUGUGCGGGAAGAUAAUGACGGUACCGCAAGAAUAAGCCCCGGCUAACUUCGUGCCAGCCGCCGCAGUAA
rnacentral:rRNA from 1 species